CAGCAGCCGCGGUAAUACGUAGGUGGCAAGCGUUGUCCGGAAUUAUUGGGCGUAAAGCGCGCGCAGGCGGAUCAGUCAGUCUGUCUUAAAAGUUCGGGGCUUAACCCCGUGAGGGGAUGGAAACUGCUGAUCUAGAGUAUCGGAGAGGAAAGUGGAAUUCCUAGUGUAGCGGUGAAAUGCGUAGAUAUUAGGAAGAACACCAGUGGCGAAGGCGACUUUCUGGACGAAAACUGACGCUGAGGCGCGAAAGCCAGGGGAGCGAACAGGAUUAGAUACCCCAGUAGUCCCUGUCUCUUAUACA
rnacentral:rRNA from 1 species